AGGGAAAAGCUCAAAUUUUAAAUCUGGCAGUAUCUUGCUGUCUGAGUUGUAAAUUCAAGAAGUGUUAACCAUAGCUGGACCAUGCACAAGUCUCUUGGAAAAGAGCAUCAUAGAGGGUGACAAUCCCGUCUCUGGCAUGGACUCCCAGCUUUCCUGUGUUUCACUUUCAAU
rnacentral:rRNA from 1 species